GAGUUUGAUCAUGGCUCAGAUUGAACGCUGGCGGCAUGCCUUACACAUGCAAGUCGAACGGCAGCACGGGAGCUUGCUCCUGGUGGCGAGUGGCGAACGGGUGAGUAAUGCAUCGGAACGUAUCCUGGAGUGGGGGAUAACGUAGCGAAAGUUACGCUAAUACCGCAUAUUCUGUGAGCAGGAAAGCGGGGGACCUUCGGGCCUCGCGCUCUUGGAGCGGCCGAUGUCGGAUUAGCUAGUUGGUGAGGUAAAGGCUCACCAAGGCGACGAUCCGUAGCAGGUCUGAGAGGAUGAUCUGCCACACUGGAACUGAGACACGGUCCAGACUCCUACGGAGGCAGCAGUGGGGAAUUUUGGACAAUGGGGCAACCCUGAUCCAGCCAUGCCGCGUGAGUGAAGAAGGCC
rnacentral:rRNA from 1 species